AACCACUAGGCCAUGGGGCUGGCCCUCCCAUAUGUUUUUUUAAACCCAGUUUUUCUGACUUUGAGUUUUCUCCACCUGUUAUCUUUCUGUCAGAUACCUGAGGUAAUGUUUACUCUUCCACUAGUUGUUGGUCAGAAGUGUUCUAGCUCUUCAACAACCCACUGCAGUUGUGUGUGUGUGUGCACAUUUUAACAGUCAUUCCCAGGAAGAGAGAAAAAUUCAAACAAAAGGAGUGCCCUGAGUCAAAAUAUACACGUUGGAAAAGCUUUUAGAAAUCGCAAAAAUGGGUAUUCCUGCUCUGCAUUCAUCCCAGCCAGGCACUGGGUGAAGGACGUGAAACUAGUUUUGUGAGAGAUUUUCCACACAGCUCAGAGGAUAACCCACGUUCCCACAUAAACGCAGGUGGCAGUUGUUUACCUACAAAGAUUUGACCGGCACCCUCCAAGUGCCACCUGUUAAAAAUAUAGCUUUUCCCACUGUCUGGACAAGGUGCCACUUUCUCCUUCUAUCAACUCAGAAAUUUCUGCUUUUUCAAACAAAGCAAAACAAAAAAGACAACAGUAUCCCCAGAUGGCCAUUGUUGCAGAGCACAUAUGGUGCCUGAGAGGAGAGGGAGAACCUUGGGCUCCUCUGGUAUUUUCCAGUGGAGACAUGGACAAGGGGUCUAGAAUCCUCAACCUAAAACAGGAGGGGAAGCUUAAAGUCUGAGAAGUGAAGUCGCCGCUCAUGUCCUGCAGCACCGGGGGGCCUGCCCUGCUCCCGCGCCUGGUGUUCUUUCCACCUCACUCACCACUGUCCUUCGAAUACUUCAUUCCCUGAGUGCCAAACAAAUGAGGCAUCUCUGCAUAAUAGCCGAGGUUGGAAAUAUUUCAUUAACUUUGCUGCCAAUGGAAAAUAAAGCAGUAGAAGAGAGACAGGACACACAACAGGAGGUUGAGCCAGAGAAGAGGUGCCUGGAGUCAAAAAGGAAUAAAAGUAGAGAAAGGAAGAUACAGAGAAGCAGCAGGGGUGGAAGGAUGGGAGGAGGGGGUGAUCAGAAGAGGUGUGAACAGAAAGAACAUUGGCCUAUUGUGGUACCUGGGUUCUAAGGUUAGUCCUUGUGCUGCUUAAUUUUAUGUGUCAACUGGUAGGCCGUGGUAUCUAGAUAUUUAGUCAAACGUUAUUCUAGAUGCUGCAGUGAAAGUAUUUUUUGGCUGAGAUUAACGUUUAAAUGAGUAAACGCUGAGUGAAGCAGACUGUUCUCCAUAAUAUGGGUGGGACUCUUCUAAUCAGUUGAAGGCCUUAAUAGAAAAAGACUGACAUUUUGCAUGGGAAACCGGAGCAAGGAGAAAUUCUACCAACAGACUGCCUUCAGAUUCUAACUGCAAUUCUUCCCUAGGUCUCCUGUCUACUGGCCUCCCGCAGAGAUUUUAGACUUGUCAGCCUCCACAAUUGCAUGAGUCAGUUCCUUAAAAUAAAUCUCUCUCUCUCUCUUUCUCUGCAUCCUAUUGGUUCUGUUUCUCUGGAGAAUCCUAACUAAUACAGCCUCCAACAAAACCCCUCCUCCGUGGAUAUCCAUGCCACUCCUCAUGUCAAAAGAAUCCUAAAUCUGGGGCUUAAGAGACUUGGAACGCCCACUUCCUUCUCCUUGGAAUGCUUGCCCUUGGAAUGCUCCCACUUGGAACCCAGCCUCCAGGCCGUGAAAGAUCUCAGCCACAUCGACAGACUAUGUGGAAGAGAACGUAGGUGCUCUGGUCGACAGCCCCCACUGAGGAUUCAGCACCAUCUUGGGUUUUCUAAAACCAGAUGAGCCCUCAGAUGACGGUGACUCUAGAUGACAUCACAUGGAGCAGAAGAACUGCCCAACUGAGCUCAGUCAACCCAUGGCAUCAAGAGAGAGAAUAAAAUUGAUGCUGUUUUAAGACACUAAAUUUUGGGUUGGUUUGUUACACAGAAAUAGAUAACCCACCUUAAAAUUUGGUCUAAGGUAG
ensembl:lncRNA